GGGGGACAUCAAGCACCAUCUUUGAUUAAAUCUACUGGGGAGAGAGGAAGAAUACCAUUGCUCUUUUUUCCAGCCUCGGGAGAAGUAGCACCAAUCUACAAGUACACUACACUAGUACUGGAAUAUGUUGCAACACAGGAACGUGGUGGUAAUGUAUUAACUGACUUGUCAGAGUUAGAUGAAUAUCUUGGCGAGACGUACAGAGGUUGUCUAAAUUCACUCGACAUCCUAAACUAUUGGAAGAACCAUGAACAACAAUAUCCAGUACUUUCAAGAAUGGCAGGGGAUAUUUUGUCAAUUCCUAUUUCAACUGUCG